rnacentral:rRNA from 1 species
GACUUAAGCAUAUCAAUAAGUGGAGGAAAAGAAACCAACAGGGAUUGCCUUAGUAACGGCGAGUGAAGCGGCAAGAGCUCAAAUUUGAAAUCUGGCUUUUAUUAGUCCGAAUUGUAAUUUGUAGAGGAACGUUCGGCGACGUCUAGGUCUGAUUUUUCUGGAAGGAAAAGCCAAUGAGGGUGAGAGCCCCGUACGACUGAAGACUGAACCAUGUGUACGUCCUUCGAAGAGUCGAGUUGUUUGGGAAUGCAGCUCCAAAUGGGUGGUAAAUUCCAUCUAAAGCUAAAUAUUGGCCAGAGACCGAUAGCGCACAAGUAGAGUGAUCGAAAGAUGAAAAGCACUUUGGAAAGAGAGUGAAACAGUACGUGAAAUUGUUGAAAGGGAAGCGCUAGCAAUCAGACUUGGAAUGGGUAUUCAGCAGUUCAUUGGACUGUGUAUUUUGCCUGUUACAGGCCAGCAUGAGUUUUUGCGGUUGGAAAAAAGUAGUGGGAACGUGGCUCCUUUCGGGGAGUGUUAUAGCCCAUUGCAGAAUACAGCCAGCGGAGACUGAGGAACGCCUUUUUUGAAGGAUGCUGGCAUAAUGGUUGUUAGCGGCCCGUCUUGAAACACGGACCAAGGAGUCUAACAUCUGUGCGAGUGUUUGGGUGUCAAACCCGCUCGCGAAAUGAAAGUGAACGGAGGUCAGACUCGCAAGAGACAUGAUCGACCGAUCCUGACGUUCUCUGAAGGAUUUGAGUAAGAGCACAGCUGUUGGGACCCGAAAGAUGAUGAACUAUGCGUGAAUAGGGUGAAGCCAGAGGAAACUCUGGUGGAGGCUCGCAGCGGUUCUGACGUGCAAAUCGAUCGUCAAAUUUGCGUAUAGGGGCGAAAGACUUAUCGAAUCAUCUAGUAGCUGGUUCCUGCCGAAGUU